UUUUUUCUGCUUUUUAGCUCACCUGGCCCGAAGGGCCAAGUGAGCUUUUCUCAUCACUUGGCGUCCGUCGUCCGUCGUCCGGCGUCGUCCGUCGUCGGCGUUAACUUUUUACAUUUUGAACUUCUUCUAGAGAACCACUGAAUGGAAUGAAACCAAACAUGGCAUGAAUGUUCCUUAUGAGGUGCUCACCAAGUGUUGUUACUUUGUAGCCGAUCCAUCAUCCAAGAUGGCCGCCAGCGGGGGACUUAGUUUAACAUAGGACCCUAUGGGAAAUGCAUACAAAUGACUUCUUUUAGAGAACCACUGAAUGGAAUAAAACCAAACAUGGCAUGAAUGUUCCUUAUGAGGUGCUGACCAUGUGUUGUUACUUUGUAGCCGAUCCAUCAUCCAAGAUGGCCGCCAUCGGGGAACUUAGUUUAACAUAGGACCCUAUGGGAAAUACAUACAAAUGUCUUCUUUUAGAGAACCACUGAAUGGAAUGAAACCAAACAUGGCAUGAAUGUUCCUUAUGAGGUGCUGACCAAGUGUUGUUACUUUGUAGCCGAUCCAUUAUCCAAGAUGGCCGCCAGCAGGGGACUUAGUUUAACAUAGGACCCUAUGGGAAAUACAUAAAAAUGUCUUCUUUUAGAGAACCACUGAAUGGAAUGGAACCAAACAUGGCAUGAUUGUUCCUUAUGAGAUGCUGACCAAGUGUUGUUACUUUGCAGUCGGUCCAUCAUCCAAGAUGGCCGCCAGCGGGGGACUUAGUUUAACAUAGGACCCUAUGGGAAAUACAUACAAAUGUCUUCUUUUAGAGAACCACUGAAUGGAAUGAAACCAAACAUGGCAUGAAUGUUCCUUAUGAGGUUCUGACCAAGUGUUGUUACUUUGUAGCCGAUCCAUCAUCCAAGAUGGCCGCCAGCGGGGGACUUAGUUUAACAUAGGACCCUAUGGGAAAUACAUACAAAUGUCUUCUUUUAGAGAACCACUGAAUGGAAUGAAACCAAACAUGGCAUGAAUGUUCCUUAUGAGGUGCUGACCAAGUGUUGUUACUUUGCAGUCUGUCCAUCAUCCAAGAUGGCCGACAGCAGGGGACUUAGUUUAACAAAGGACCUAUGGGAAAUACAUACAAAUGUCUUCUUUUAGAGAACCACAGAAUGGAAUGAAACCAAACAUGGCAUGAAUCUUUCUUAUGAGAUGCUGACCAAGUGUUGUUACUUUGUAGCUGAUCCAUCAUCCAAGAUGGCCGCCAGCGGGGGACUUAGUUUUACAUAGGACCCUUUGGGAAAUACAUGAAAAUGUCUUCGUUUGGAGAACCAAUAAACGGAAUGGAACCAAACAUGGCAUGAAUGUUCCUUAUGAGAUGUUGACCAAGUGUUAUUACUUUGCAGCCGAUCCAUCAUCCAAGAUGGCCGACAGCAGGGGACUUAGUUUAACAUAGGACCCUAUGGGAAAUACAUACAAUUGUCUUCUUUUAGAGAACCACUGAAUGGAAUUGAACCAAACAUGGCAUGAAUGUUCCUUAUGAGUUGCUGACCAAGUAUUGUUACUUUGCAGUCGAUCCACCAUCCAAGAUGGCCGCUAGGGGGAGGGGCUUAGUUUAACAUAGGACCCUAUAGGAAAUACAUACAAAUGUCUUCUUUUAGAGUACCACUGAAUGGAAUGAAACCAAACAUGGCAUGAAUGUUCCUUUUGAAGUGCUGACCAAGUGUUGCUACUUUGUUGCCGAUUUACUGUUCAAGAUGGCCACCAGGAUAUUUUAUUAAAUAACGGGACCAAUAUUAAUCAAAAUUUGGCCUCAAUCAUUAUUUGGGUAUCUGUUAUGAUUUUUAUCUAUCUUUACAUGAUUUCUAAAACCAAAGUAGAGUCAGGUGAGCGACACAGGCUCUUGAGAGCCUCUAGUU